UACGUAGGUGACCAGCGUUGUCCGGAUUUACUGGGCGUAAAGAGCGCGCAGGCGGUCGUUCAAGUCGAGUGUGAAAGCCCCCGGCUCAACUGGGGAGGGUCACUCGAUACUGAUCGACUUGAAGGCAGGAGAGGGAAGCGGAAUUCCCGGUGUAGUGGUGAAAUGCGUAGAUAUCGGGAGGAACACCAGUGGCGAAGGCGGCUUCCUGGCCUGUUCUUGACGCUGAGGCGCGAAAGCUAGGGUAGCAAACCGG
rnacentral:rRNA from 1 species